rnacentral:tRNA from 1 species
GGGGUUGUAGCUCAGCGGUAGAGUGCUUGCCUAGCAUGUGUGAGACAAUGGGUUCUACCCUCAGCACCA